ACGGUAACAUAUGCUCGCUCGCUCUCGGUUUCAGUCGUUACAUCGACAACUCUUAAGUACGUUCAAUUUUUUCAGGUUUUUCUAGAUUUGUACAUCAUAAUAAACGGUUACAACGUCUUCAAGAAAGUUGUAUAUGUGUGAGGACGUAACCAUAACAACAAUUGCCCGCUAGCUCUCAUUUGAGUUGUUACAUCCACGAGCUUGAAGUACUGUUAUUUUUACCACGUUUUUAUUGAUUUGUACAUCACAAGAAACGUGUUUUUUUCUCGUAAAAAAGUCUUCAAGAAAGUUGACGUUUGAGGCAGGUUCGCUACAAGACUAAAAUAAUUUGCACACCAGACAGGUUGCCUGUACUAGCAGCUGGAGCUGCUCUGAUUGCGGACUAGCUAAUGGCCAUAGCUUGAAUUGCUUCAAUGAUGUAACUGUCAAAAAGGUUGUGAAGAAUCCACAAGAACAAGAGCAGUUCCCACCUGGUUUCCAUGGCAUCUGUCCAACUCACAGCAGGAAAGGAAGCAGAUCUCGGCAGUGCUGAGUUCGCCCUCUUCUGGACGGAAGUGAGGGCUCCAAUAAGCCUUGGUCUAAUUAGCCGUGCUGUCAAAACAUUUCUGCACAAGUCCUUUUAGAAAACUCUACUGCAUGCUCACACUGAACUAUUCCGAGGGGAGAUUUGUUAAUUUGGACUUAUGUAACACCACAGCUCGCUGCCAUUAUGGGAAAAACAAAUGAAAAGGUCAAAUGAUAGUAAAUUCAACCCAAAAGGAACCUCUUAACACAGUUUGGACUGUACCCUGCAUUCACCUUUGCUUAGAAAAAGACAUGAGGUGGAACGAC